rfam:Triticum aestivum genome assembly, contig: Triticum_aestivum_CS42_TGACv1_scaffold_592625_7BS
GAGAUACUUCCUCCGUUCGAAAAUACUUGUCAUCAAAAUGGAUAAAAGGGAUGUAUUUAGAUGUUUUAGAUACAUCUCUUUUUAUCCGUUUUGAUGACAAGUAUUUCCGGAUGGAGGGAGUAUGUA